rnacentral:rRNA from 1 species
CAGUCGCCGCGGAAUACAGAGGGUGCGAGCGUUAAUCGGAUUUACUGGGCGUAAAGCGUGCGUAGGCGGCUUCUUAAGUCGGAUGUGAAAUCCCUGAGCUUAACUUAGGAAUUGCAUUCGAUACUGGGAAGCUAGAGUAUGGGAGAGGAUGGUAGAAUUCCAGGUGUAGCGGUGAAAUGCGUAGAGAUCUGGAGGAAUACCGAUGGCGAAGGCAGCCAUCUGGCCUAAUACUGACGCUGAGGUACGAAAGCAUGGGGAGCAAACAGGAUUAGAUACCCCAGUAGUCCCUGUCUCUUAUACA